UGUGACGUGCGAGACCACGCCUCCACCGCGCAGGCGACAGGUGCAGGUCCAGGUGCGGCCGUGUUGCGGGUCGCCAGGUCCAUGGCAGGCGUAGGUCUAGACGUGGCUCUAGGUGUGGGUGCGGCCGCGCGGGUCCAUUGCUGACCCAGCGUAGAUCGAGCUCGAGCUCCAGACCUACAGUGGUUAGUGGUACGGUCCCCUGCUUCCUCUUCUUGAACAUGGAUUCGCCCCAAUGCUUCUUCUUCGCCUAUGACUAUGACCAUGAGCUCCGACAGCGACAUGGAUUAUAAUGUGUGUAUGAACUUUAGCUGAUAAUUGAUAAUCCUGUGCUAGUCAUGUUUAUUGUUCUAUUGCUUUUAUCUUGUUUACUAUCGGGUAUGGGGAUCCCCGUCGGGGACCAAAUCCCCGCGGGGAACGGGGAUGGGAGAAAAAAUUCACCCGACGUUCUUCGCGGGGACGGGGACGGGGAAAAUUUUCCCCCGCGGGGACGGGGAUGGUGGGUCAAUCCCCGACGGGGAAUUCCCCAUUGCCAUCUAUGGUGCCGGACAUGUUCACCUGGAACCUAACUUCUUGCCAGAGCUACUCGGCGGCGUCCGCCUACAGUGCCAUGUUCUUUGGCUGCUCCAAGCUGCUGGGGGCUGCUCUAAUCUGGAAGACCCCGACGCCACCCCGUAUAAAGUUUUUCUUCUGGCUUGCCCUCCAUGGCAAGUGCUGGACGGCUGACAGGCGCUGGCGCCACGGGCUGCAGGACGACAACUCGUGCAUCACUUGUGACCAAUCUGAGACGCUGGAUCACAUCAUCCUGGGUUGUGUUUUCAGCAGAGAGGUUUGGGCCGCGUGCCUCAGGGCGUUUCACCUGCUUGAGCUGAUUCCAACGCAUGAGGAACGAAUCAUGGACUGGUGGACGACGUCUCGUAAGCGUCUACCGAAGGUGCUAAGGCGCGGUUUCGACUCCCUGUUCUUCUUGGUGGGCUGGAAUCUGUGGAAGGAGAGGAACGGCAGGACCUUUGAUAGGGCCGGCCGGCAGCCUCAGCAGCUCGCACAGGUUAUUGUGGAAGAGGCCUCUCUUUGGAUCGCGGCGGGUUACAGACCUUUGGGAGCUCUAGACGCCAGGCGCGCUGGUUGAUUAGUUUCGCGCCUCUGUGGCGCGUUUUUCUCUUGUCUUCUGUGUUGGGUUCUUGUGUGGGGUAAUCAGCGGAUUACUUUGUGUAAACUCUGGGUUCUCUGCUUAAUGAAACACAUGCCGUUGCAUGUUCUCGAAAUUUUUUUUUACCAAACCAUCUUCUUCUUCUUUUUUGCCGAACCCUAUACAACAUCUUUAAGAUAAAGAUGUUGCAAAUUCAGUCCUGGGUAGGAAAAAAUUGCUUAGAAAAAAAAAGUAUGAAAAGAAAUGUUCUGGUUACUAUUUUGUUUAUAGUUAGUGCUACAUGAUUAGCAAUGUGAGACAUAAUUUAUUUAUGGAACAUCUACUGUUUUGAUAGGCAGAAAGCCUUUUUUAUUCACAAAGUUCUUUUUUUUUUGCCAAGGUGGCCGAUCAAAAUAGAAAUACCUGCAGAAUAUUUUACGGCAGAAUGGUCAAAAGUAAUAAAGCACAUUUGACCUAGAGACAGACAAGACCAUUUGUGAAAAAAGUAGUGUCAUAUAGCAGCAAAAGUUGUGAGGUAGCCUGCGCACACCUAGACAGUAAACCUGAAACAUCUUUUUUUUGAAAGGAAUGGCAGAGCUCUGCCUCUCAAUUAAGGGAGUAAAGAGAAAGUUUUUAUGUACAGUUUAAGGAAACAGCUGCUGAAUAGCAGAGCACUUGGAGAAAAAACAAAAACUAGCCUACUCUCUGAACAGCCAUUUCUCUUUGCGCUAUGUCUUCUUUGACUUUUGAAGCAACCUGCAGCGCCGACUCAUGUGCAUUGUUGAAAAUUCUACGAUUUCUCUCCUUCCAAAGAUUCUAGCAAGUGUAAAUGACCAAGCCGUUGAAGCGCCUUCUUUCUUCUCUUGUGAUUUUUGGUACGGUCUCCUCCCACCAUGAACUCAAGCUAGAUGAGCCUUGGUGGAACUGGGUUAACUGGGUGUCAAAAUGCUCCCAGUUUAGGAUAUGAUUCCACACCGCCUUGGCGUACGGACAUAGUAGGGAAAGGUGUAAGCAUGUUUCUAAGGGGCCGUUGCACAGUACGCAGCGAUCCUGAUGGGGCCAACCUCUUCUCUGAAGGUUAUCCGCCAUUAAUAUCUUGCCUUGCACUAGGAUCCAAGCGAAGACUUUGCACUUGUUUUCCACUCGAGCUUUCCAAAUGAGGUCACCUUUGAAAAUGGCAUAAGAACCUUUGAACUGAAUCCUGUACGCAGAGCGGGUGGAAUAGCAACCAUCUGCAGUCCAUCGCCAAAUGAUGGAGCCCCUUACACCUGGCUGUAGGUGGACGGCUUGGAUUCUUAUCCAAAAUGAAACAAAUUCCUCCAAGUGUUCUGUGGUGUUGAUACGAUUACUUAGGAAGUGUAUCCAUCUGUCAUUGUCCAGCUCUUGCUGCACUGAUAUGUUUUUUCUUGCAGCCAGCUCAAACAGGUGUGGGGCAAGAUUUUUGGGGGCCUCACCAUCAAGCCAGUUAUCAUGCCAGAAACGGGCCUUGGCCCCGUCUCCAAUUGUGAUCGUGGUUGAGGCUCUAAAGAGGAGGCGGUCUUCUUCACUACAGGGAGUUCUGAGCCUACCCACGGUUUGGACUCAUCGGUCCAUUCCUGCCAAAGCCACCGCAGAUGAAGAGCCCUUCCAAAUUUCUGUAAGUCAGGGACUCCUAGGCCACCUAAGUCUUUUGGCCUAGCCACUGUUGGCCAAUUGACUAGGCAUUGCCCGCCAUUUGCAUUUUCCUCCCCUUUUCAAAGAAAAGAUCUCCUGAUUUUGUCAAUUUUCUUCUUAGCCCAUGCGGCCAGCGGGAAUACUGUGAGAUGAUAUGUUGGCAUGGAUGAGAGAAUGGAGGAGACCAACGUGAAAACCUGAAACAUCUGCCUCACAGUUUUCUGAAUAUUUUCUUGCCAAUACUUAUUUUCUCUUAUCUUCUCCUUAAUGAAUGCAUGUUCUAUAAAAAAACAUACUGCUGGAAACCCUGAAUUUCGGGUAACAGCGGAACUGGAUAUGGAGGCACUCUGUAUGUAGGUAGUAGGUUGCAUUCAUAUUUGGAUUGUAGGGGUGGGCGUCUGACUGAGGAAUUCAGUUCAGUUUUCGGGUUUUCAAGAUUUGGGUCAACCAAAAAAAUAGCCAAAAUACAUUGCAAAAUAUUGACCGAAUUAUCCAAAAUAAAUUGGGUCAGUUAGAACUUAGGAUGACCGAAGUAUUCGGUUUCGGUCUCAGUUGGUUUGGUUUGGCUCUUUAGUUUUGAGUACCCUACUGGAGCAUGUUAUGUCACUACUAACUACAGUCGUUGACGAUUGAGUUCUCUUUUGUUUGUUCGUGUAGCCUCUGAAACUGUCUCGACAGGUUUGCAGUCG
rnacentral:lncRNA from 1 species